rnacentral:misc_RNA from 1 species
AAAGACACAAAAACCUCCGGUAGCAUCAAGACCUGCCGGGGCAGUAACAGGGGCAGCGGCUGAGGCAGGUACAUCGUCGUCUAAAGACGAUAUAACCGGUGGUUCAGGUGAAGGGGAAAGGAAUAAACUUGUGUUCUUUGAAGGGGGUGGGUAUAGUUUUGAUCUUGAAGAUUUGUUAAGAGCUUCUGCUGAGGUUCUUGGAAAAGGAAGUGUUGGAACAAGUUACAAAGCUGUUCUUGAAGAAGGCACUACAGUUGUUGUUAAAAGGCUUAAAGAUGUCGUUGUGCCUCGAAAGGAUUUUGAGCAACAAUUGGA